rnacentral:rRNA from 1 species
CCCUAUGGGGUGCAGCAGUCGCGAAAACUUGCCAAUGCGGGAAACCGCGAGCAGGGGAGUCCAAGUGCAUGCACAAUGUGUAUGCUGUUCAGUUGCCUAAAAAGCAGCUGAAGUAAGGGCUGGGUAAGACAGGUGCCAGCCGCCGCGGUAAUACCUGCAGCCCGAGUGGUGAUCGAUAUUAUUGAGCCUAAAGCGUCCGUAGCCGGACCAGUAAACCCUUGGGUAAAUCGGGCAGCUUAACUGUCCGAAUUCCGAGGGGACUGCUGGUCUUGGAACCGGGAGAGGUCAGAGGUACUCCAGGGGUAGGGGCUAAAUCCUGUAAUCCUUGGGGGACCACCAGUGGCGAAGGCGUCUGACUAGAACGGAUUCGACGGUAAGGGACGAAACCCUGGGGCGCAAACCGGAUUAGAUACCCGGGUAGUCCAGGGCGUAAACGCUGCAGGCUUGGUGUUGGGGGUCCUACGAGGGCGCCCAGUGCCGGAGUGAAGAUGUUAAGCCUGCCGCUUGGGGAGUACGUCCGCAAGGAUGAAACUUAAAGGAAUUGGCGGGAGAGCACAGCAACGGGAGGAGCGUGCGGUUCAAUUGGAUUCAACGCCGGAUAACUCACCGGGAGCGACGAUUACAUGAAGGUCAAGCCGAUGACUUUACCUGAUUUUUCGAGAAGAAGUGCAUGGCC